UACGUAGGGGCCUAGCGUUGUCCGGAUUUAUUGGGCGUAAAGAGCUCGUAGGCGGCUUUGUAAGUUAGAGGUGAAAGCCCGGGGCUCAACUCCGGAACUGCCUUUAAGACUGCAUCGCUUGAAUCCAGGAGAGGUGAGUGGAAUUCCGAGUGUAGAGGUGAAAUUCGUAGAUAUUCGGAAGAACACCAGUGGCGAAGGCGGCUCACUGGACUGGUAUUGACGCUGAGGUGCGAAAGCGUGGGGAGCAAACAGG
rnacentral:rRNA from 1 species